rnacentral:lncRNA from 1 species
AAGAUAUGUAUAGGGUCUAAUGUUGUGCUGUGCGGACCCCUAGGUAUUCGUGUGGAAUGGGAUCUCACAUACCCAGGUCAGGAUUACCCCCAUCUAACGAUGCACCUAAACUUGUUCAUCUUUCCUAUAUAGGGGAAGAACCUCAUCCCCCUCAUCCCUUUAUAGUCGUAUGGGGUAAAGAACAUAUCCCACGAGAGAAAAUCUUCCUAAAAGAAUGGCUUGUA